CGGGGCUACUGCUCUGUAAUUGGCAUGGGGGCGACCUUCACCCUCGCCCGAGUACCCAUUGGAGGGCAAGUCUGGUGCCAGCAGCCGCGGUAAUUCCAGCUCCAAUAGCGUAUAUUAAACUUGUUGCAGUUAAAAAGCUCGUAGUUGAAUCUCACGUCCCGCCCUAGUGUUUUCCACUUGGCGGACGCCUCGUUACUUUGAGAAAAUUAGAGUGUUUCAAGCAGGUUUCGCCUGUAUAAUUGAGCAUGGAAUAACCUUGUAUGACCCUGUCGUACCGUUGGUUGACUUUGGGUAAUGGUUAAUAGGAACGGUUGGGGGCAUUCGUACUCGACUGUCAGAGGUGAAAUUCUUAGAUUUGUCGAUGACGCGCGACUGCGGAAGCAUUUGCCAAGGACGCUUCCAUUAAUCAAGAAC
rnacentral:rRNA from 1 species